UUGGAGGGCAAGUCUGGUGCCAGCAGCCGCGGUAAUUCCAGCUCCAAUAGCGUAUAUUAAAGUUGUUGCAGUUAAAAAGCUCGUAGUUGAACCUUGGGCCUGGCUGGCCGGUCCGCCUCACCGCGUGCACUGGUCCGGCCGGGCCUUUCCUUCUGGGGAUCCGCAUGCCCUUCACUGGGUGUGUCGGGGAACCAGGACUUUUACUUUGAAAAAAUUAGAGUGUUCAAAGCAGGCCUUUGCUCGAAUACAUUAGCAUGGAAUAAUAGAAUAGGACGGCUUUCCUAUUUUGUUGGUUUUUA
rnacentral:rRNA from 1 species